CGCCAGUGCCGAUUGCCAAAGCAAAUGGAGGGACCCCCUGCGUCCAAUAACUCCUCGUCUGCUUCCCAAGAUUUCUUUCUUUUCCCUUUUCAAUUCAACUUUCCUCCCUCGAUUUCAACCAAGAAAAGAUGAGCAAAGUUGUUGUUCAAAAAAGAUGAGCAAAGCCUCGAUUCCAACCAAGGGGUGGAGCCGUGGAGGUGGUGGUGGGGUGCUCCCUCCGUCUGCCGCACAGGCACAGGCGCACAGCAUAGAAAGAUUCCUAGUCCUCUUCCCCACUUCGGUGCCCCACGCCGACGCAGCCCGCCACCACUGUUGGGCUGCGCAGCGGCACCACCCCUUUCUCUUCCCCCCUCUCUCCCCCGUCACAUCCUCCUCCACCCACCCAUUGCGGCAUAUAAAUCCCAGAUCCAGAUCUCCCACCCACACCUUCCCUCUUGCAUAGGCAGCCAGUCUGACCAUCUACUCGCAUGGGCUAUCUACAUGUGAUCUUCUCGCAGGUGUUUCCUGUGCUGCUCCGGGGCUGCCGUCCCUGCUUUCGGUUUCAGUUUCUUGCAUUGGUGCGAGGUUUAUUUUUUUGUCAGACCGUGUUCAUCUACAGGUGGUGUCUGGGCGCAGUGGUUUAUCGAUCCCUUCCUUGCCUUGUGCUGAUCCGGGAGCGGUGGUUCAAGUGUUUCUUGUUGCAGCAGCUUUGCAGACAACGCGGGAAUCGGUCGAUAAACCUCUGCAUCCAGCUCUCACCUCGGUCCCUGCUCAUGGGUUCAUGUCUAAAUCUAAUGCCUUAACCUCAAAGCUAUGCUUGGUAUUACUGUGAUGAUAUAUUUGACUACUUUUUGCAUGAUCUGACUUGCAGAUCGACCGAGAUGCAUGUUUUCUUCAUAAAGCUUCAGUUGUCUACAUGUAUUUUGCCUGACACAUGGAUAUGAAAAUUCACCUUGAGAGUUUGACACAUUGAGACAAGUUUUGGAACCUGAAGAUACAUCUUGAUAGUUUAGGAACUCGAAUAACACCUCCGAACAAAUUUAGGAAUUUAAAAAUGUAUUUUGAGAGUUUAGGGAUCUAGAUAACACCUCAAGAUAAGUAGAGGACCGCCUAUGUAUUUUACUCUUAUUUUUACUUGGCCAGCUUUUGAAGUUUUUCUGCACUGCAGACUGUAAUACAAGCCUUGUUCAGUGCCACAAUCUUGUCUUUGCAAUGCACUGCUGUUGUAUGAUCAAGUAGGCAAAAACUUCUAUGUAAAUGUUUCGAUACAUGCCAUUCUAAUUAUCAUAAGCCCAUAACCAUACGGGGAUUAGACACAAGUAGUUGCCAGAAUAUUGAAGUCAAGAUCUUUUUGUUUCUCUUAGAUUCUUUUUCUUUUCAACCUAGGUUACUUUCUGCAGACUGAAGUUGUGUCAUGCAUAUUCUAACUAAAUAGAGUUUGACGUGAUAUAGACAGAAGCAAAAAAAAAAAGGUACAGGUGAUCGUCACAUGACUUUACAUUAUUGCAAAUGUCAGUUGUUUACCCCUUUCUUUUGUUACAGAUAUUAUCUACUCCAUCCGUUCCAAAUUAUAAGUCAUUCCAAGAAUCUUGGAGAGUCAAACCAUCUCAAAGUUUGAUCAAAAUUAUAGAGAGAAAUAUAAAGAUUCGUGACAUCAAAUAAGUGCACUAUGAAAAUAUAGCUAAUAAAGAAUUGAAUGAUACUUAAUUGAUAUCAUAAAUGUUAUUAUCUUGUUAUAUAAAUUUGGUCAAAUUUGAAAAUUUUUUACUCUUCAAAAUUCUUGGAAUAACUUAUAACUUGGAACGGAGGGAGUAUUUGAUGCGCACACAGAGAGAACUAACGGUUGGCAUCUUCAGUCUAGCCUUGAAGCUGUUGUUUGGUCUCGCUUGAGGUGCAGCCAUACAUGUACACCGACGUAUUACAAUACCCAUGACUGAUUGCUCCUGGAAAUAAAGUGAUUUCGAUGGCGUGUUUUAGCAAGUUGAUUACAA